rnacentral:miRNA from 1 species
GUGAAUCGUAGGUGACAGCGG